GUGUUAGGCCAUGCCAUUCUGAAGGCGCCUUAUCUCCAAAGCUAAGCAGUGUCGGUCCUGGUUACUACUUGGAUGGGAGACUGGGAGACCCCCUGUGCCCUAGGUU
rnacentral:rRNA from 1 species